rnacentral:lncRNA from 1 species
GUUUUAUUUUCAAGUUCAAUACAUGAUUUGAAUAACUGUAAUAAAUGAAACAUUGUUAAUAAAUCACAUGUAUAUGUUACUAGACAAUUACUUGUAUAUAACAUGUAUAAAUUGGGACCUUUAGAGAAGGAAAAAAACCUUAUGUUUUAUGAUCAUGAUAUAAUCAUUUUGCUUUUGACUGCUUAGAAGAAUUUUUAAUUAUAACCUACAAUAAUAAUAUUAAAACAUACAUUACAAAAAAUGCAUUAUCAACAAUUAAA